UUGAGCCGGAUGCGGUGAAAAGUCGCACGUCCGGUUCUGAGGGGGCUCCGGCCCGGCAACGGGCCGGAGCUACCCGAC
rnacentral:ncRNA from 1 species